AGGGUUUCCCUGCUGGCUGCCCUUCCCCUGGUGCUGAUCAGUGAGGCAGGCUGCGAUCUGGUCCUCUCACUCCAAUGGCACAGAGCUAUUUCAGAGCAGCCAGGACCUGCCCAUGCUGCACCCUGUGGGAGUGAGGGUGUUUUAUAAAGUGCAGGAAGCCAUGUGAAAACCAACACCAAGCAGGGCUGCCAUGGAAGAGGAGCAAGCAGAGCAGAGUGUUACAAGGCUCCUACACGCUUUCCCAGGCGAAGACCUCUCUGCUCCUUCUGCAUUUUCAUUCUCGUGUUGGCCUCUGCCCACUGAAUAACAACAGUAAUUGGAUGUGUUUGAAUAGUGCUGCUCAUUGUUUGGCUGGAACAGAAUGUAUUGCUUUGGUGUGAUGGUUCAUGGAGAUGCAGGAGGACCUCUAUCCCAACUCUUUGCUCAUAUAACACAGCAGCUGGAUGUGACAGAGCAUCUCGUGUAGCUUUGGACUGAUGUCAGUAACCCAGAAGUUCUACUGCUCAGCUCAUCUCACAAGCUGAACCCUGGUGGUCAGUUCCCCCCCCACCUCAAGCCCUCAUCCAGCCCCCUGGGUUUCUCCAUGCCUAGAAUGUCACUAAGGACAAUCCUGCUUCCUGCAGCAGGGAGGAGGGCUGUGUUACCACCAAUGGGGUGUCAGACUCCCAGCAAGGACUCAAGGUAAACAGUUCAGCUUUGGUGCUUUAUUUGAAAGUUGCUGCUUGUGUUCCAGAGCUCGUGUGCCUGAGAGAUUGUCUGUGAUUUUAUGUAUCUUUCCUGGCUGUAUCAGUUGCUCCAAUAAAAGAUACCCCUUUCCUUACCA
rnacentral:lncRNA from 1 species